UGAGGAAUAUUGGACAAUGGGCGAAAGCCUGAUCCAGCAAUACCGCGUGAGUGAAGAAGGCCUUAGGGUUGUAAAGCUCUUUCAGCAGGGAAAAUAAUGAUGGUACCUGCAAAAGAAGUUCCGGCUAACUCCGUGCCAGCAGCCGCGGUAAUACGGAGGGAACUAGCGUUGUUCGGAUUUACUGGGCGUAAAGAGCGCGUAGGCGGGUUAUUAAGUUAGAAGUGAAAGCCCAGGGCUCAACCCUGGAACUGCUUCUAAAACUGGUAACCUAGAGUAUGGGAGGGGACAGUGGAAUUCCUAGUGUAGAGGUGAAAUUCUUAGAUAUUAGGAGGAACACCGGUGGCGAAAGCGACUGUCUGGAACAUUACUGACGCUGAGGUGCGAAAGCGUGGGGAGCAAACA
rnacentral:rRNA from 1 species